AAUCUAAAUUUAAAUUGACAAAAUUAUAAAUUUAUUUUGAAUAAGUAUUAUUUAUUUAUUUUUGUAAUUUUCCUAAUUUUUUAAAAACAAAGAUCUCAAUGCACAAAAUAGACGUGCUUGCCAAUGGGAGUUGGUUCAGCGGUAAAGUGUUGGUCCAAAAACUGUUUUGACUCGGGUUUAACACUCUGUAGCCCUUCAGACAACGCCUUUGCACUUCGUCUAAAGCGUGGUCUUAGCCCGGGAUUGGGGGCUGACGCAGGGGGCUUCUAUAUACACACACCUAAUCCCCUCUUUGUACAUCCUUCUCACUACACACAUGAAAAAAAAUAAUUCUUAAUUAGUUUCCUCAGUACACACACGGUGAGUUCCAAAUGUACCCUCAUACACACACACACACACACGCGCGCGCGCAUACACACACCCGACCCCAAAUACACACACCUAUUGAAUCUGAAGCACAUCUUCAACCUUGAAGCAUUCCAUCACAUACAAGCUGAAGCACCUAUUCAAACUGAAGCACAUCUUCAAUCGUGUGCAAAUACAUUGAAGCAUUCCAUCUCAUUACCGUGUGCAACCCAGGUGUGCAAGUACAUUGAAGCAUUUCAUCCACGAAGCUACAUCCCAUUGAAGCAUUCCAUCAGAUUUUCAAUCCUCAUUAGAUAAUAUGGAUUCUGAAUAUCAACAACGUGUCCCAUCUACUGCUUCAAAUAGACGACGUCGUGAAUUGGAUGUAGACCAUGAACAGGGACGAGGGCGUAGGCGAGGACGAGGUCAAGGUCGUGGUCGUGGUCGUGGUCGAGGUCGAGGUCGUGAUCCAGUUUCGGUAGAAUAUGAUAUUCCCAGUGCCAGUCAAAGUCGGAGCCGAAGCCAAAGACGAGUUAAAGGUUAUGAUAUGCCUGAUAUUGCUGUGAAGGAUACCUCCUUACCUGAUUCUCCUCCUGUCCAGGAAGAGUACAUUACUCAUGCUUUUCCAGGUGGACCGACUGAUCUAUCAAUAUUGCGGAGUUUCAAUAGUCAUGUGGCUGUAGCUAUUUGGCACGGGGAGGAACGAGGGCCCCUAAAGUGUCAUAAUCACUCUUCCAAGAUCCUUGCAUGGCCAUAGUGGUUAGUAAAGAACAACACCAGAUUCAAAGCCAUUAUUGAGCAGUCUGGACUGUCACAGUUAGCUCGUUGCACUUAUCGGUUCGUCAACAAGCUUCUAAUCUCCAGUUUUGUUGAGAGAUGGCAACCUGCGACGAACACAUUUCACAUGACAGUUGGUGAGAUGACCUUGACCCUGGAUGAUGUUGGCACUAUUCUUAGCCUUCCCAUUGUUGGCAAAUCAGUCAGCAUACCAAAUGUGACAGAUCAUCAUGGAGUUACAUUACUCGUUUAUGGCUUGGGGAUUACUGAACGUGCAGCACAUGAAGAGGUUUCUUCUGCUGGUGGCAAUUCAGUCAGGCUUGAAUGGUUGCAAAGUCAGUUUGCUGGUGUCACAGAUUCAGACCCCGAGGAGGCUAGACAGUGCGCUGCUAGAGCUUAUUUGUUGUUUCUGUUGGGAUGUACACUCUUCAGUGACAAGAGUGGCGGCAGGGUUCCCGUUGUUUACCUUGGCUUAUUGAUGGAUUUGGAAUCCAUACAUACUUACGCCUAGGGUGCUGCUGCAUUAGCAUUUUUAUACAGACAGUUGGGGUAUGCUAGCCGGUUUGGGGUUAAGCAGAUGGAUGGUUAUAUGACUCUUUUGGAGGCGUGGAUUUAUGAGCACUUCCGAGCAUUCCGACCUUAUCAGAACAUGGGCUACAAUGAAGACAUGCCACACGUGUACCAUUGGGCAUCUAGGAGAGAGGCGAGUUCCUCCAUUGAGCAUUUGAAAUCUUUUCGAACCGAGCUUAACAGUUUGGUAGCUACUGAUGCAAGUUUACUCAUCCUACAAUAAUUUUAACACUUCCAUUUAUCUUACCCUUUAUGUACUUUAAUUCAAAAACACUUUACGUUUACAGGUUAUUUGGGAUCCAUACUACAGCUGCAGAGACCGGCAUCCAUGUAACCCGGUUACGUUCUACCAUGGAUGCUUAAAGUGCUUAGACGUUGUCGAACUCUAUCAUCCAGAUAAAGUUUUGAGGCAGUUUGGCAUGGUUCAAACCAUCCCAAAUGCACCGCUAGCUCCCAGUCGUGGUGCGCGAGGCAACAUAUCUGUACGAUAUACAGUCAUGUACAGAUACUUGGAUAGGAUCUGGGAGGCUUGGGAUAACCACGUGUUAUCUGAGCAACGGAGGAGCACACCAGUUCGUCAGCCUUGGCAAUGUGUACCGAGUUACAUGGAUUGGUAUAAGAAUAUCACGCACCUAUAUGUCGAGCACACUGAUGAACCGCGUGUCCAUGACCAUCAGGAUUUCAGCGAACAGACGGAUCGUAUUGCACAUGCACUGCAGAUUUCACAUCCUAUUAUUGACGCUGGUUGUUAGGAGGGGAUUCGACAUCCUUAUCGACUUUACCAGGCUAUCGAGAGUAUGACGGGUGUCCUUGAAGGUCAGCACAUUGACGAAGCUGGACCUAGUUCUGAUGGAGGUCGCUUUCCAUCUUCGACAUUGACAUACAGUCGUAGGCCUAGGCGUAGGCAUACAGCUGAUUCGUGACAUGUUAUUUUGUUACAUGUUAUUUUGUUAGUUGAUGAAUUUUUUUUGGUAUUUUUUGUAAGAUGACAUUGUUGUAAUGGUAACAAUGGUUAAUAUUUUCUUAUUACAAUGGAAUGGCAACCAUGGCAUUGUAAUGACAUUGUAAUGACAUUUUAUUAUUAGAAUGGA